rnacentral:rRNA from 1 species
AUUGAACGCUGGCGGCAGGCCUAACACAUGCCAGUCGAACGGUAACAGGAAACAGCUUGCUGUUUCGCUGACGAGUGGCGGACGGGUGAGUAAUGUCUGGGAAACUGCCUGAUGGAGGGGGAUAACUACUGGAAACGGUAGCUAAUACCGCAUAACGUCGCAAGACCAAAGAGGGGGACCCUCGGGCCUCUUGCCAUCGGAUGUGCCCAGAUGGGAUUGGCUGGUUGGUGGGGUAACGGCUCACCAAGGCGACGAUCCCUAGCUGGUCUGAGAGGAUGACCAGCCACACUGGAACUGAGACACGGUCCAGACUCCUACGGGAGGCAGCAGUGGGGAAUAUUGCACAAUGGGCGCAAGCCUGAUGCAGCCAUGCCGCGUGUAUGAAGAAGGCCUUCGGGUUGUAAAGUACUUUCAGCGGGGAGGAAGGGAGUAAAGUUAAUACCUUUGCUCAUUGACGUUACCCGCAGAAGAAGCACCGGCUAACUCCGUG